rnacentral:rRNA from 1 species
AUUGAACGCUGGCGGCAGGCCUAACACAUGCAAGUCGAACGGUAACAGGAAGACGCUUGCUUCUUUGCUGACGAGUGGCGGACGGGUGAGUAAUGUCUGGGAAACUGCCUGAUGGAGGGGGAUAACUACUGGAAACGGUAGCUAAUACCGCAUAACGUCGCAAGACCAAAGAGGGGGACCUUCGGGCCUCUUGCCAUCGGAUGUGCCCAGAUGGGAUUAGCUAGUAGGUGGGGUAACGGCUCACCUAGGCGACGAUCCCUAGCUGGUCUGAGAGGAUGACCAGCCACACUGGAACUGAGACACGGUCCAGACUCCUACGGGAGGCAGCAGUGGGGAAUAUUGCACAAUGGGCGCAAGCCUGAUGCAGCCAUGCCGCGUGUAUGAAGAAGGCCUUCGGGUUGUAAAGUACUUUCAGCGGGGAGGAAGGGAGUAAAGUUAAUACCUUUACUCAUUGACGUUACCCGCAGAAGAAGCACCGGCUAACUCCGU